rnacentral:rRNA from 1 species
AACGUAGGGGGCAAACGUUGCUCGGAAUUACUGGGCGUAAAGGGUGCGUAGGUGGCUGAGAAAGUCGAAAAUGAAAUCCCGAGGCUUAACCUCGGAACUGUUUUCGAAACUACUUAGCUUGAGGAUAGUUGAGGAAAACGGAAUUCCCGGUGGAGCGGUGAAAUGCGUAGAUAUCGGGAGGAACACCUGAGGCGAAGGCGGUUUUCUGGACUAUUCCUGACACUGAGGUACGAAAGCUAGGGUAGCAAACGGGAUUAGAUACCCCCGUA